GCGAAGUGUGAUAUAUAAAAGUCAGACUUAUUCUGCCAAUAAAGAGCAAUAAGAACAUAUUUCAUAUGGAGGUGCAUUUUUGGAUGCAAAGGAACAUGCUGCAAGUGUCACGGCAAAUGUGUAUAUGAGGCUGAGUAUAAAUUGACACACGGCAAGGAAUUAGUACAAAAGUGAAUCAUCUAAGUAUCAACAGAUACUAAUGUGGAUGUCAAUAAGUUGGUGCGCUGACUGUAAAGUCAAUUUAUCUUAACCCAUUUGCAAUGAGCAUAAAGGGUAUAUUGGAUUUCUGCAAGUGUAUGUAACAUGAAUGAAUGAAGCAUUCCCGAUUCCAUGAGGUAGGUAUAAAAAGCAACUACAUAAAAUAAUGAAACAUUUUAAAUAACACAACUAUGUAAGUUCUCGUAUAAUAAUUGGACUUUAAAGACUGCUGCUAUACAGUAAUUGAUUUUCCAUACCUCGAAUGCCUGCAAAGGCAGCUUGGGCUGGGUUCAGGAUAUUUAAUUAAUU